AGAAGUUUCUGGUCUCCAGAAUCCUUUUUGUGCACUUAAGAUUCCUUCUUGGUGUUUGGAGAAAGUUAAGUGAACAUCCCAGUGCAGUGACUUCAACAUGUUCUCAACUUCUCUUAUCACAUUUGAUUCGUCACGAACUAUUAGUUUACCUCCUGGUCUUACUAUUCUAUCCACUUCUGCCAUUACUGGAACAAGAUUGCACCUUUCAAAACAAAACAAAACAAGAGACUUAUUGUUGAUGAAACGUUACCAAAAGUGUUCAUAAUCUGUAGUGAAAUCUCGAGGAGCUGGUUUCCCAUAUAUCCCCAUUUGAGAGCUGUUUAACCAGUAAGGCGGUGUUUGAAGCCGACGGGGCCAAUUCACGGGCCACUUGCUUCCUCUCUCGACCACAUUGGUUUCUGGUAGAUUGCAGCACCAAUACCAUUGAGUUUAUCCUUGUUGAUUGUCACAAGUUCCCAGCACAAGGAUUUUGUCAACGCGGACAUUUCUACAUCACUCAAAACAUCUCAGGUUCAGUGAAACAAACAAAAGAAGGAGGAACUCUAGUUAAGUUCAAGCAUUUUACUUUAGUCAUUACCUUUCCAGAUUUGAACAUCUUCUUCAAGCUUCUGGUAGACUGGUGUUGCUGACCAGACAAAAUAACCUCCAGGCCUAAGCAUCCGAUUAAGUUCCAGAAGAAGCAUACCACCCUCAUUAUGCCAUGGGACUCUACAACGUGCACAGUGGAUAAGAUCAAACACUCUGCUCGGGAAUGGCAGUCGCUUAGAGCCCAUAACUGCUGAGAUGGCUGGAAUCUUUCUUUCAAGAGCAAACUGGACUUGAGCCUCGUGUUCAUCUUUUGGUGCAAGAGACAUUGCUAUAACAUCUCUUUCAAAGAGGAAACCGCCAAAGCUCGCCACUCCACAUCCAACAUCCAAUAUGACCCGAUUUUAACACUAUACUGAAAUCAAGAAAUGAGUGUUCACCUGCUGAAGAAAAUCGAUAUAAUGAAGAGCUCCAUGGAUGAACUGUGUUCCACCACCAGGAAACGUCAAGAACUCGCCAGUGACCUUCACCCAGUUCUGAUGUCCUUUUACCUCAGCUAGCUUUGUGUGUGGGACAUUGUGGUACCAUAUCUACUAGAUCACAUACUUUACGGCAUCGUCUGGAAGCUUUCCCGGAUUGUCUUCAAAUGCCUGUUGCUCAUCAGACUCUUGUUUCGUGGGUUCGGGCUCAUCAUUACCGUUUGAAGAGGCAGACACAUCACUCCUCUCUGUCUCUGCGACAGCCGCUCGAGUGGAGCCUUGUGUGAUCUGCGGUGGAAUAACGGAAUUGGAAGAAAGCAUCCACACCCCGAAGACACACAGAGCCACAAAGAUGACCAUUGUAAUGGUCGACGCAUAGGACGACGUCGAAGUGCGUUUGUUGCCACGUCCCCUCCCGAAGGCCAUCUUUACGGUCUUGCGUAUAGUACUAGUUAUGGAGAAAGAAGAAGAAGAAAAAUGAAGGAGUAAAAUGGGAGUUGAAGGAAGUAAAAAUAGAAGAAAAAGAAGAGAAAGAGAGGUUGUGAAGAGACAAGACUGGAUCAAAGAUCCUAUAGAGUCGGAUAUGGGACUUUCAAUUUCGUGUCUCUAAAUUUAGUUAUGGUCUCUGUGUUUCAUAUUUUGUUGUCCAUGAAAAAUUAGUGCCAUGUAAUCCAAUGUUAACUUGUAACGCCUAGUCAAGGAUAUAUUAAACAUGGCAAGCUUGUGCUUUUUUGGUAUAAUGUAUUCGAAG
rnacentral:lncRNA from 1 species